rnacentral:rRNA from 1 species
CAAACUGGAGAUGGCGACCGGCGCACGGGUGAGUAACACGUAUCCAACCUGCCGAUAACUCGGGGAUAGCCUUUCGAAAGAAAGAUUAAUAUCCGAUAGCAUAUAUUUCCCGCAUGGGUUUUAUAUUAAAGAAAUUCGGUAUGAGAUGGGGAUGCGUUCCAUUAGUUUGUUGGGGGGUAACGGCCCACCAAGACUACGAUGGAUAGGGGUUCUGAGAGGAAGGUCCCCCACAUUGGAACUGAGACACGGUCCAA